rnacentral:rRNA from 1 species
CUCUGUGACUCCGUACGGGAGGCAGCAGUGGGGAAUAUUGCACAAUGGGCGCAAGCCUGAUGCAGCAACGCCGCGUGAGUGAUGAAGGCCUUCGGGGUCGUAAAGCUCUGUCCUCAAGGAAGAAUAAAUGACGGUACUUGAGGAGGAAGCCCCGGCUAACUACGUGCCAGCAGCCGCGGUAAUACGUAGGGGCAAGCGUUAUCCGGAAUCACUGGGGCGUAAAGGGGUGCGUAGGCGGUUUUUCAAGUCAGAAGUGAAAGGCUAUGGCUCAACCAUAGUAAGCUUUUGAAACUGUUAAACUUGAGUGCAGGAGAGGAAAGUGGAAUUCCUAGUGUAGAGGUGAAAUUCGUAGAUAUUAGGAGGAACACCAGUGGCGAAGGCGACUUACUGGACUGUAACUGACGCUGAUGCACGAAAGCGUGGGUAGCGAACAGGAUUAGAUACCCUGGUAG